rnacentral:rRNA from 1 species
AUUGAACGCUGGCGGCAGGCCUAACACAUGCAAGUCGAACGAGUGGCGGACGGGUGAGUAAUGUCUGGGAAACUGCCUGAUGGAGGGGGAUAACUACUGGAAACGGUAGCUAUUACCACAUACCAUCAGAUGUUCCCAGAUGGGCUUAGCGAGUUGGUGGGGUAACGGCUCACCACGGCGACGAUCCCUAGCUGGUCUGAGAGGACGACCAGCCACACUGGAACUGAGACACGGUCCAGACUCCUACGGGAGGCAGCAGGGGGGAAUAUUGGACAAGUGGCGCAAUCCUGAUGCAGCCAUGCCGGGUGUAUGAAGAAGGCCUUCGGGUUGUAAAGUACUUUCAGCGGGGAGGCGGUACCCGCAGAAGAAGCACCGGCUAACUCCGUGCCAGCAGCCGCGGUAAUAC